rnacentral:rRNA from 1 species
GACGAACGCUGGCGGCGUGCUUAACACAUGCAAGUCGAACGGAAAGGCCCUGCUUUUGUGGGGUGCUCGAGUGGCGAACGGGUGAGUAACACGUGAGUAACCUGCCCUUGACUUUGGGAUAACUUCAGGAAACUGGGGCUAAUACCGGAUAGGAGCUCCUGCUGCAUGGUGGGGGUUGGAAAGUUUCGGCGGUUGGGGAUGGACUGGCGGCUUAUCAGCUUGUUGGUGGGGUAGUGGCUUACCAAGGCUUUGACGGGUAGCCGGCCUGAGAGGGUGACCGGCCACAUUGCUCCUGAGAUACGGCCCAGACUCCUACGGGAGGCAGCAGUGGGGAAUAUUGCACAAUGGGCGGACGCCUGAUGCAGCAACGCCGCGUGCGGGAUGACGGCCUUCGGGUUGUAAACCGCUUUCGCCUGUGACGAAGCGUGAGUGACGGUAAUGGGUAAAGAAGCACCGGCUAACUACGUG